GCUGACUCGUGGACAUUCUCAUUUCAGGUGCAGCUCAGUUGCCGUGAUGCUCCUUGAGUCAAUGAGCUCUUUGGUCUGCUCUUCUGCUCAAGCAGAAAAUGAUCUGCGCUUCACCCUUGAGAAGCUGACAAGAACCACAGGCUUCUUCGGGCAGGUGGUGGAACAUGGGUGUAUCCUGCAGGUUCUCACAGUAUCUCCCUUUGCUCAGGCUCUAGCCUGAUUUUCUGGCUCAUAAGGCCAAAGGGAGCCGGAAAGGUCCCCACGGCAGGACUCAUGGUGGAGAGAGAAUGGUCUGGAGGAUUCAGGCCUCUGCACACUGUGUCUGGGUCCCUCCUUAAAGAAUGAUAAAGACAAGCAAAGAGCUUGAAGCAGCCUGGAGUCCAGCCAGAAACCUUUAACUGAGCUUUAAAGGAGAUGGUCACAACACUUUUCAGAAUACUGGCAAAGGCCUCCUGUGGCCAGGUUUGUCCUGGGAUGAGCAAAAUUUAAUGUUAACCUGCUGUAUCUUUGCUUUUAAUAUAUCUGCUUGCCCACCACAAUGACGUUAUGGUUAAUUUCACCAAUUUGGUAACCUGCCUCAUGGGAAGUACGAAAGUAAGCAAGGGCCAGGUGUGGUGACUCACGCCUGUAAUCCCAGUACUUUGGGUGGCUGAGGCAGGUGGAUUGCUUGAGCCCAGGAGUUCAAGACCAACCUGGGCACCAUGACAAAACCCCGUCUCUAAAAAAUAUACAAAAAUUAACCAGGGGUGGCAGUGCAUGGCUGUAAUCCCAGCUACUUGGAGGCUGAGGUGGGAGAAUCUCUUGAGCCUGGGAGGCAGAGGUUGCAGUGAGCUGAGAUCACACCACUGCAUUCCAGCCUGGGCAACGAAGUGAGACCCUGUCUCAAAAAAAAAAAAAAAAAAAAAAAGAGAAAGACAGUGAGGGUGUCCUGUGAAUCAAAUCUUUGAAUGGAUGUUUUCUUAACUAACCAAGACCUCUGUAAGAAUUCUGUCUUUGAUUCCAC
rnacentral:lncRNA from 10 species